CAGUCGCCACGGUAAUACGGAGGGGGCUAGCGUUGUUCGGAAUUACUGGGCGUAAAGCGCACGUAGGCGGCUUGGUAAGUUAGAGGUGAAAGCCUGGAGCUCAACUCCAGAAUUGCCUUUAAGACUGCCGAGCUAGCAGGUGAGAGAGGUAAGUGGAAUUCCGAGUGUAGAGGUGAAAUUCGUAGAUAUUCAGAAGAACACCAGUGGCGAAGGCGGCUUACUGGCUCAUACUGGACGCUGAGGUGCGAAAGCAUGGGGAGCGAACAGGAUUAGAUACCCGAGUAGUCCCUGUCUCUUAUAA
rnacentral:rRNA from 1 species